AGCAGUCGCCGCGGGAAUACGUAGGGGGCAAGCGUUAUCCGGAAUAACUGGGCGUAAAGGGUGCGCAGGUGGUUUAACAAGUUAGUGGUGAAAGGCAUAGGCUCAACCAAUGUAAGCCAUUAAAACUGUUUAACUUGAGUGCAGGAGAGGAAAGUGGAAUUCCUAGUGUAGCGGUGAAAUGCGUAGAUAUUAGGAGGAAUACCAGUGGCGAAGGCGGCUUUCUGGACUGCAACUGACACUGAGGCACGAAAGCGUGGGGAGCAAACAGGAUUAGAUACCCCUGUAGUCCCUGUCUCUUAUACA
rnacentral:rRNA from 1 species